rnacentral:rRNA from 1 species
AUGAACGCUGGCGGCGUGCCUAAUACAUGCAAGUCGAGCGAACAGACGAGGAGCUUGCUCCUCUGACGUUAGCGGCGGACGGGUGAGUAACACUUGGAUAACCUACCUAUAAGACUGGGAUAACUUCGGGAAACCGGAGCUAAUACCGGAUAAUAUAUUGAACCGCAUGGUUCAAUAGUGAAAGACGGUUUUGCUGUCACUUAUAGAUGGAUCCGCGCCGCAUUAGCUAGUUGGUAAGGUAACGGCUUACCAAGGCGACGAUGCGUAGCCGACCUGAGAGGGUGAUCGGCCACACUGGAACUGAGACACGGUCCAGACUCCUACGGGAGGCAGCAGUAGGGAAUCUUCCGCAAUGGGCGAAAGCCUGACGGAGCAACGCCGCGUGAGUGAUGAAGGUCUUCGGAUCGUAAAACUCUGUUAUUAGGGAAGAACAAAUGUGUAAGUAACUAUGCACGUCUUGACGGUACCUAAUCAGAAAGCCACGGCUAACUACGUG